CGACAGCAAGCAUGUCUUCGAUUUCAUCGGCACAAGUUAAUCUGAGUAUUGGAAAUGAAAGUAAGAGACAACAGGAGAACAAAAACAUUACUCGUGAUGGUGCUGUCAUCUGCAAAUGAAAAGGAGAAUUUUCUUACGAGAUUCUCGAUGAACAUGUUCAAUCCUAAAAAUCUUGCUUCCUUUAACGCAUUGAUGAUGUAAAGGAUAGCACCAAUCUCCAUGAAAAAUUCGGCUAUUAAACGAAUUUUUGCUGAUAUAGAAUUUAUGUGCAUUAAUCUGCAUUCCUUUUCAUUUUACUUACGGAUAUAUUAGCUAUGAAAUGGGCUAUAAAGCAUUAAAUGAAUAUGAGACAGAGAGAGAGAGAGAGAGAGAGAGAGAGAAGUCCGGUCUACGAUCGACGUGAAGAACGGAGCGAGAGAGAAAGAUAUACAUAAUGGUAAAGUUGGUUGCAUUAAUUAUGCAUUGAAUGAAUGAUUAGUUUUAUUUUUGCAAAAUGAAAA